rnacentral:lncRNA from 1 species
CAUUAUUACAGGUCCCAAUUGAGUUAUUACAAACUAAGAGUUCAAAUGUAUAAAAGGUAAAGUUUAGAGUUCAAAGCAGAGGAAAAGUAAACGAUAAAUCUAACAUCGAUACACAAUACUAUGGUGAAGUCUGCCAUGAUAUCAAACACCACGAUCCUCACCGAUCGAGGAAAGGUCCCACUUGAUAGUCCAUCCCGAAGGGAGCUGGGAUGGCCAGGUCAAACUGGCAACCAAGUCAACCACAAAACCUGAAAAACAUAGCCACAAGCGAGACUGAGUAUACUAAUACUCCGCAAGACUUACCCAUCAGGUGGUGACUACUCCACCGACUUCUAGACAUGCAAGGUUUUUUGGCUGAGGAGUUUGUUUUGCCAAAAGCAUCUAAAGUAGGUCCUUACUUUCAAGUUUUAGCAUCAGGUUCUAGUUGAUUAACCAUUCUAGGUAAGCACCUACUUUAAGCAAGUAUGGUGAACAAGCAAAACUUAUCAAGCAUCAUUAGUAAUCAUCAUACUUGUUUCUCCUAUUCAUUAGUGCAGAAAUGCAGUCAAGCAGUCUCAAACUAUGAGAGACAGAUGAUUCGAAUCGAGUUUCUUAACCUUGCAAGGUGAAUCUAAACCCACGACAUAUGCGUACCACAUCGGGUCCACACAUGUCAGCCAUCCCCAUCAAUCCCCAGGCACGUGGGCAGGGCCCACUUCCCUUGGAUACAAUGCCCCACGGUCCCGGAACGUUGUCGUACCGUGACUGCACUUGUACCCACAUGUUGCAGCAGGGGAACCCAGUUGCAGAGAGAGUGGGGAUCAAGCCAUGGUUUGGGGUCAAUCAGUUACUAGGCUUCCCUAUCCCAUACUAGGUAUGAGGUUAGUACUUUCAAACACUUGACCACAAGUCUAAACAUAUUUUGACCUUAGCAGCUUUCUUCUAGACAGACGGGACAAUCCACCAAUUCAGAACAUAUUGCUCGGCCCCAUCCGUCAUCCUUAUGGUUGCAACAUACGUAAACAGGCAACUCUUAUAACUCGCGAGUGGCAGGAAAUCACUCGACUUUUACCGAGUCCCUAUUUAGCAUUGCAUCUACUCAACCUAUCAUACUAGUAUUCUAACAUAGGUACCUAGGAUCAUGCAACUAAGGUUUCAAGCAACUCCUAUGAACUUAAUACACAAACAUAAGUAACAUAAGUAGUGCGUAAUUUUAGGAACUAAGGUUUUGCUCCGGGGCUUGCCUUGUUUCCCUAACUCAGCCUUGGGCUCUUCCAAACUUUGGUUCGAGCCUUGGUUUGCCUUGAUCAUGUUCAGCUUAGCAGGAGGGUGUCCUUCUUCGCGUUCCGAGCCAAACUCGUACGUUCCAUUGGCGAGGUUAGUUUUUAUAUGAGAUGCAUAUGCAUAAGAUUUCAUUUAUAACUUUUCAUAACAUAGGUUGCAUCUCGUUAAUUAUUGCACAAGCAUAGGGUGUAUUUUGGACCACAUUUACUUAUUUACUUAAGAUGCUCUUAAUUUAUCUUGUCUCGUGUGUUAACUUGUGAACUCUGGUGGUUGCAACUCCUACAAUCUGCUCAACUAUCGUAUCCAAUUUUUACCCAUCAUGUUCAUUUGUUCAACGAUGUUAAAGAACCUUAUUAGAAAAGGUGUUGAUUAACCUAUGAGUAAUUCUUUUACUAAGUGACCAUUUUUGACUAAGCAUGACUAAGCAAUUUGCAAGAUUUAGUUAUUAUAACUCACACUACUCGAGCAACGAAGUGUAAGAUAAUAAAGCAAAUGAGUCCAUAACAAUAAAAACCUAGUUCUAAUAAUGCAUUAAGGUAACCGCAUGUAGCCUAUAGUGAUACAUAGCAACCAUUUCAUUUCACAAAGUAGGCGACAAACAUGCUUAGUGGCUUGCCUUGGUUUUCUUUGGGCUCAAACUUGAUGUCUAUGCCGGCCUCGGCUGUGGGUUCAAAGGUCACGUUCCACGGCAAAUUGCUCUCUAAAAGAAUGAAAUGUGGGCAUGCAUUAGAGAUGAUGCUACGAGUGCAAAUGCUCAUGAAAUGCAUGAAACUUGGGAGGAUAUCUAGUGCAAGAAGUCAGGAACUCAACAACAGCACAUCUACAGCUUAAUAAGGCAUAAGUGUUUUAGUGCAGGCCUAUCCAGAAAAGAAAGAAACAACAGCAAUGAUCUAAAUGUUGAAAAAGAACACAAACUGACUACCAAAGACAAUCCUGAGAUAGCAUGGUUGGCAUUAUUUGUAAUUGAUAGAACAUGUAUAAAUACAAUAUCAGGAUUUGGUUCCACAAUUAGCUAAGCAUAUACUAAGUUAGAUAUGCCUAUGAGUCCUGUAGGAAAAAAAAUAUCAACCACAUCUCCAUGACCAAGCAUAUUUUUGUCGUAAGGGAACAAGUUUAACGAAAACAACAAGACUAGCCUCAUGUCACUAGGAGGUAUGAUGAUUUGCCUAAGGAUUUCAAUUAUGCAUGUAGACUAAUAAAAGUGAUUUCAUAGUUUUCCUUUUUAUACAAUUGUUUUAGCGUGAUUAAAAGGGCAUAAAGCCAAGGUCACAUUUUGUCAAGAACAAAGAUCCUAUCAUGCUGGUAAGGAACUUUUAAGUGGGACGACAAGACAUAGUAGAACUACAUAACAAUUUAAGAGCUAUUGAAUCAUAUAAAAAAUACAAUAACUAGGAGGGAAACUAAUUUGCACGAUAAACUAAACAGGUACAAAAUUGCAAGAUUAAAAUCAUCUGUUGAGAAAUGAUUAUGAAAUAAAUGGUACUGACAGAAGACAACUAUACAAAGUCAUGAGAGUUGGAUUCACCUCAAAAUCAAUUUUUAAUGUGGAGAUAUAACAUAAACAAGAUAACUACCAUUAAGCACAUUAAGUCUAAAAAGGCUUGUAAAUCAACCAGAAAAGUAUCAACAUUAUUUUUCCUGGAUCCUAUGUGGAAAAAAAAGGCUAAUAGAGGUGGUUUCAUAAUUUUAUCAAUUUUCCACUAUUUAUCAUGCCAUUAGCAAUAUUAAGACAGCAAUAAGCAUUUAGUUUUUUAAAACAACAUCAACACCAUAAGUUCCACUAACACAAGUUGUAGAUCUGAAACAUGCAUGUUAAAAGGAAGCUAUCAAAGUUGGUUUCACCAUUUUUAGAGCACUAUAUGAUUUAUAAAGCAUUUAAUGACCUUUGGACCAAUUAAAUCAUAGCCCCAAAUAUAAAACAGUAACAUGCACAAAAAUCAUUUUUGAAAUAAACUAGACCUCACAUGGAAUCCAACAAAACAAGAAUAAUAUUUUUAGCAUUUUAUACAUUUUUUUAUGCCUUUUCCAAGUUUGCAACAAUUUGAAACUAGCUAUUUAAUUAAAACCAAAAUCAACUUCACGUUUAAGCCCCUACGAAAAAAAUUUCUUUCUCAGAUAUGCGCUUCUCUUCACAAGCAAGCCCCUACAUCUUGCGCUCAAGCCCCUGGACAAAAACCCACCUCUCACAUAAACUCUUAACUUUUCACAAGAACCCCUGAAGUUUAUUUUCCCCUUGCAAUCGGUCCCUAGCCUUCUUCUACCUCCAGAACGGACACGCACACACACAGGUCUGGUAGGGGCGCACCUGGGCCGGCCGGGGAUAGGGGAAAGACGGCACGACGGCGCUAGGGAGAGCAGCAUUGCCAUGCCGCAAGGCCAAGGGCCUUACCGUCAAGUCGGCGAUGGGGGGAAAAGGAUGGCGCAGCAGGGGCUCUAGGAAUGGUGGCGCGCACUUUGGCUACAUGUGCGGGAAUGCGUGUGGAAAGUUGCCCAACAAGGAAAACAAACGCGAGCAUGAUGACCAGGGACUCACCUAAGAUCCGUUUGAGCAGUUGAUUGAAGACUAGGACAGCCGUAAGAUGGGCGUCCACGGCGAG